rnacentral:lncRNA from 1 species
GACGGGCAGAAGUCCAGGACUAGGAGCCUCAGCCGGCGGACGCCAGGAAACAGGAAAGUAUUUUAUUAGAAGAAUUCGUAGAAGUAGAAUCCGUUUGUCUUCAGUUAAACAAAAGAAGAACCUCAUUGCUUUCCAACUGGGCCCCGGCCAUUUUCCAGUUGAAACAUCAAAUAUUUUAUUUGUGUCUUUCACUGCCAAUUAAAGGACAACAGAAAUGGUACAGGCUCCCUCUGCAGUGGUAUUACCCUUAUGUCUUUUCUGUCUAUGCUGAUCCACCUGAUCUUGAACUGGUGCUAUUCCAUGGGGAAAACUGGAACAUGGGGCAAUUAACACUUUCUCCACUUUAUCCCAUCAACAGGAAAUUGAAAUAUAACCAACUAACUCAGGAGACAUCAUGGAAGAUGUCACACAGUGAAUGAUGAUUAAGCAGAAUUUUUAAAAUGUGUAGGAUUACGAGAAGUGGGGUCAUUUUUCUUUGUGUAUGGUAUUGCUGAUGCAGUUUAAUGCUCCAUUACUUCUAAAUUUUCAUCAUAAGCUAGAUUUUCCAAUUGUGGUUUCUAUAAAGAAAAACAAACAUUCUGAAGACAGUUUUUCCAGAUUUAUUCCAGAUAUCGAUGAUUAACUUUCGAAG